GCGGCAGGCUUAACACAUGCAAGUCGAGCGCCCCGCAAGGGGAGCGGCAGACGGGUGAGUAACGCGUGGGAACGUACCUUUUGGUUCGGAACAACUCCGGGAAACUGGAGCUAAUACCGGAUAAGCCCUUCGGGGGAAAGAUUUAUCGCCGAAAGAUCGGCCCGCGUCUGAUUAGCUAGUUGGUGAGGUAACGGCUCACCAAGGCGACGAUUAGUAGCUGGUCUGAGAGGAUGAUCAGCCACACUGGGACUGAGACACGGCCCAGACUCCUACGGGAGGCAGCAGUGGGGAAUUUUGGACAAUGGGCGCAAGCCUGAUCCAGCCAUGCCGCGUGCAGGAUGAAGGCCUUCGGGUUGUAAACUGCUUUUGUACGGAACGAAAAGGUGCCUUCUAAUAAAGGGCGCUCAUGACGGUACCGUAAGAAUAAGCACCGGCUAACUACGUGCCAGCAGCCGCGGUAAUACGUAGGGUGCGAGCGUUAAUCGGAAUUACUGGGCGUAAAGCGUGCGCAGGCGGUUUUGUAAGACAGAGGUGAAAUCCCCGGGCUCAACCUGGGAACUGCCUUUGUGACUGCAAGGCUGGAGUGCGGCAGAGGGGGAUGGAAUUCCGCGUGUAGCAGUGAAAUGCGUAGAUAUGCGGAGGAACACCGAUGGCGAAGGCAAUCCCCUGGGCCUGCACUACG
rnacentral:rRNA from 1 species